UGCGUAGGCGGGUCUUUAAGUCAGGGGUGAAAUCCUGGAGCUCAACUCCAGAACUGCCUUUGAUACUGAAGAUCUUGAGUUCGGGAGAGGUGAGUGGAACUGCGAGUGUAGAGGUGAAAUUCGUAGAUAUUCGCAAGAACACCAGUGGCGAAGGCGGCUCACUGGCCCGAUACUGACGCUGAGGCACGAAAAGCGUAGGGAGCAAACA
rnacentral:rRNA from 1 species